rnacentral:misc_RNA from 1 species
UGAAUGCAUAAAUUACAACUCUUUUGCAAACUGGAACUUGGGAAUUAGUUUCACGUGAUCAAGCUCAAAAUAUUAUAGGUUAAAGCUAAUGGUACCAUAAAUCGUUACAAAGCAAGGCUAGUUGCCAAGGGAUUCAAUUAAUGUCCUGGCAUUGACUUCACAGAAACUUUUUCUCUAGUAAUUAAACCAGCAACUUUUCAUAUUAUUCUCUCCAUUGCUGUUACAAAUCAGUGGCCUAUAAAGCAGUUGGAUGUCUCUAAUUCUUUUUUACAUGGUGACUUGCAUGAUUUUGUUUUUAUGUCUCAACCGCCAGUUUAUGUUGACAAAGAUUGACCUGAUUAUGUUUGUAAACUCCAACGAUCUUUAUAUGGCCUUUGGCAAGCCCCACGACAAUGGUAUCAGAAACUUCGUAUGGCCUUAAUGAAGCAACACUUUUGCACUUCUAAAGUUGAUGCAUCUCUCUUCUCCUACAAGAAGCAAAAUCUACAAGCCUUUUGUCUUGUUUACGUUGAUGACAUUAUUCUAAAGGGUAAUAAUGCUGCUUUCUUAUCUACUGUCGUUCAAACAUUGCAAAAGCAAUUUAUGGUGUGUGAUUUAGGCCUUAUGGAUUACUUUCUCGAGCUUGAAGUGGCUUGUACUGCCAAUCGCAUUUUGCUUUGUCAACAAAAAUAUAUUCAAGAUCUUCUUUGCAAACUAUGUUCCUCUACUUGUUUGAAUCUUUAUGAUGGCACUCCUAUGGACAAUCCUAGCCUAUAUCGCCGUAUUGUAGGCAGUCUACAAUAUAUCUCUCACUCGGUCAGAUGUUGCUUAUGCCAUUAAUAGAGUCUCGCAAUUUCUUCAUGCUCCGAGGGACACGCAUUGGCAAGUUGUUAAGCGAAUUCUUUGCUACUUACGAUCCACCAAAGCAACUAGUUCAAUGAUUUCCAGAUCCGACAAUA